rnacentral:rRNA from 1 species
UACGUAGGGGGCAAGCGUUGUCCGGAAUUAUUGGGCGUAAAGCGCGCGCAGGCGGCCUUUUAAGUCUGAUGUGAAAGCCCACGGCUCAACCGUGGAAGGUCAUUGGAAACUGAAAGGCUUGAGUACAGAAGAGGAAAGCGGAAUUCCACGUGUAGCGGUGAAAUGCGCAGAGAUCGGAGGAAGACACCAGUGGCGAAGGCGGCUUACCUGGACGAUAACGCUGAGGCGCGAAAGCGUGGGGAGCAAACAGG